ensembl:lncRNA
CUUUUUAUCUCAUAUGAAAGUCAGUAGGACUUGGAAAGAAACCAGAGACUGCAGGUCUAUGACUGUACUUGCUUCAGGAGAGAAGAGAGAAAGAGGCAGGUGUUUCCAGAUUGUCUCUGUCAAGUGACAGAGAGGUGACUGUGGAGCUGUGGUCUAUGAGGAAGGUCCAAGCUUUGAACGAUGAUCAUGGAGCCAGCUAUGGGCUAUCCACGUCCCUAAACUAUGAUGCUUAGAGAACACUGCACUGCCUCAGUCACCUGGGGUCACGUUUGUUCCUAUGCUUGGGCUCCUUUCAGGGGCAUCUGAGAAAGGAAAGAGGGAUCAUCAGGACCCUAAAAAUUGAUAAGCAAGUUUGGAAGUUCAGAAAACUCAGCUUGGAGAGAGCAGAGUUAGGAGGGCAAGUGAUCUGGACUGUGAGUGGGCAUGGGAUCAUCCAGGGCGCUCACCUUUUGCACGCAUUGCCCUGGGGCAGUCCUGUGUGUUGCUGGCAUUGCUUUUCAGCAGAGAUAGAGGCUAGGUCCCAAUGGUGAUUUCCCUCCUUGCCAAGGGGAACCUGCCGCCCCAAGGGUGUCCAGCGUUUCUGAAAGCCGCCUGUCUGGGCCCACCUCCCCCUGCAGUCCCGCUCAGUGGCCACGGCCUGACCCAGGACUCGGACCUAAGUUGUCCCUGUGGAAUGGGGCUGUACUCACCCGGCUUCUGGCUUGGCACAGACUGCCCUGGAGAGCAGAGACUGAGGUCCAGGUGAGGGUCCUUCCUCAGGGGCCAUACACACUUGUUCAGCUUCUCUCAGGAGGUUUACAUGGGUGCCCCCAGGCUUUCUGAGACAUUACUGGAUUUGGCCUCAGAUGGCAGCAAACAGAUGGGGGGAGUUAAAUUCCUCAGGGCCGAGAGUCAUGACUGUUAAUGAUCCUGGGUAAGCCGUGGGGCUUUCAGCCUCUUUGAGAAGCUGCCAACUAGUCCUUGGGGCCGAGCCUGGAAUCACAUCUGCCAGCUGUCCCUGAAAUGUUCCAGUUUGCCAUUCCUUAAACAUGCCUCCCAACCUGCUCCCCAAGGUUAGGACUUACCACUUGUAAGGCAGGGGAAAAGUGAAAGUGUUCGUCACUCAGUCGUGCCCGACUCUUUGCAACCGCAUGGACUGUAGCCCACCAGGCUCCUCUGUCCAUGGGAUUCUCCAGGCAAGAGUACUGGAGUGGGUUGCCAUUUCCUUCUCCCAGGGAUUGAACCUGGGUCUCCUGCAUUGCAGGCAGAUUUUUUACCAUCUGAGCCAGCAGGGAAGGCAGGAUGAGGGCCCUGACAACACCAACACCCAGCUUCAGAAGCCCCUGCCCAGGACCCAGUCGGCUCUUCCCUCCAGCUUUGCCUGAGGGGCAAGGAUGCUCGUGUGUGAGGCUUUGAAGUCCAGACCUGAUUGGAGAGAAAAAUAAUGCUUCGUGAAUAUAUUGCUUGAUCAACUCCUAGGAUUCAAACUGAGCUCAUGGUGAGAAGCCUGGAUCCACUCGUCUGGGGGUCACAGGGCCCACAACCCAUGCUCCUGGGGGUGACAGAGCAACACAGCCUUCUAGAUCAUCCUAAGUGCUAUGACACACAGCGCGUCCUGUGGCCAAACAGCAGGGCCCUUUCCUGGAAUCCUUUUUCAGCCAGCUCAAAGUAAAAACACCCUCCAUCACACCACUCCAUCCAGUGACCUGCCUCUCCUGGAUCGAUGUUUAGCCUUAAGACCCUUGAAUGGAACUCCAACCGUGAUGGCGCUGCCAACACUCUUCCCUCUCCCCCCUCCUCACAUAGUGUUGCUUAAAGAGGAGACCCCCGAGGGCCUGCUCAGGCCCCCUACACGGCCUCUCCUCUGUCACUCCGUCACUGCACUGCCUUCUCGCUCGCGUCAAUAAAAAUGACCUUCACCAGCUCUCGUGCCCUCUAACUGGAUGAGAUCUCAGCGUCCCCCCAGCACGAACCACAGCCAUCAGAGACAGCACCCAGGGUGUUCAUGUUGAGAUGUUUCAACUGACUGCGCCUCCAGCUUAACUUAGUUUCAAAUGAAACUUCAUUCUCACGUGAGCCUAUUGGACUUAUUCUGGAACCUCUAGAACUGGACCUGACUACCCCACAGGUACCAGACCGGUGGGUGCCCUCCCCCACUACCCACCAGGAAGUGUUUCUUGGAGCCACUAUCUUUUUAUCUGUGACUUCAGAGUCAGCCAACAGAUCCACUAGUCAUUCAAGGAGAUGUUCAUGGAUCUUGUUAUCAGGAUAUGAACUGCUUUUAUAUGAAGAAAGAUGCACCCCCUCCCCCCCCAAUGAAUUCACUCUCACUAUUCAGACACUGUGUGUGUGCAUCCGUCAGAGACUGUCCCACAUUUCGCCAGUCCUUUGAGGACACGUCUGCUCACGAGCGGUUCGUCAUUUUGGGACUCCUCCUUGUAUUAACACUCUUGCCAUUGAGUCCUGCCAAAUCCUCCAUUGGAUUUCUCUUCUUCCUUUGUAUCUGUCAUUUAGUCCAAAGGAGCAUGAAUCAAUCAACAGAAGUGCAAAUGAGCUGAUACUAUCUUUGUGGUCAACUGAGGACGCUGCCAAAACUCUGCUGUCUGACUGCAACCCGGGGACAUGAAGAGGAACGGGUGGCCCCACCACUGAUAUUCCCUUCUCAACAUUUUUAAAUAAGCACAAGUGAUAUUUGUAAAAAGAAAAAAAAAAGUUUAAUUUUAUUUAUUAUGGUAAAUAAACUAUUUUAUAAUGAUCAUACAUGAUUGCUUUUGCCUUUCCUUGUAUAAACUUCCAGGCACUGAAUUAGGUGAAUUACCUAAGAUAAAAGAACUAGGUGGUACUUUCAUAGACCUUUUCAAAAGCCUUGGGACCUCUAAUUUGG